UACGUAGGGACCGAGCGUUGUCCGGAUUCAUUGGGCGUAAAGAGCUCGUAGGCGGUUUGUUGCGUCGGCUGUGAAAUCCCGAGGCUCAACCUCGGGUCUGCAGUCGAUACGAGCAAACUAGAGUGUUGCAGGGGAGACUGGAAUUCCUGGUGUAGCGGUGAAAUGCGUAGAGAUCGGGAGGAACACCAGCGGCGAAGGCGGCGACCUGGACAGGGACUGACACUCAACUACGAAAGCGUGGGGAGCAAACAGG
rnacentral:rRNA from 1 species